AAUUGCCAGCAUUCAGUUGGGUCGACUUUAAAGAGACUGCCGGUGUUAAGCCGGAGGAAGGUGGGGAUGACGUCAAGUCCUCAUGGCCUUUAUGCCCAGGGCUACACACGUGCUACAAUGGGUGGUACAAAGAGAUGCCAACUCGCGAGAGCGCGCCAAUCUCAGAAAGCCAUCCUCAGUUCGGAUUGGAGUCUGCAACUCGACUCCAUGAAGUUGGAAUCGCUAGUAAUCGCGGAUCAGCACGCCGCGGUGAAUACGUUCCCGGGCCUU
rnacentral:rRNA from 1 species